rnacentral:tRNA from 1 species
UGUCCGAUGGUGUAAUGGCAACACUUCUGUUUUUGGUACAGACAUUCAAGGUUCGAGUCCUUGUCGGAUAA